GUUAAAAUACCAGUUCUCAUUCGAUCACCAAAGUCAAGCAACAUCGAACCUGGUCACUACCUAGAUGGGUGACUGCUUGGGAAUACCAGGGGCUGUAAG